rnacentral:rRNA from 1 species
UACAGAGGUCUCAAGCGUUUGUUCGGAUUCAUUGGGCGUAAAGGGUGCGUAGGCGGCGCGGUAAGUCGGGUGUGAAAUCUUGGAGCUUAACUCCGAAACUGCAUUCGAUACUGCCGUGCUUGAGGACUGGAGAGGAGACUGGAAUUUUACGGUGUAGCGGUGAAAAUGCGUAGAUAUCGUAAGGAAGACCAGUGGCGAAGGCGGG